GCGAGCGACAGUUGACGGACGGUUGAUGAGACGCGGAUACCCGAUGGUGACGGUUCCAGCUCCAGGGGUUAGGAGCCGUUGCUGUGGACGGAGAGAUGGGGACGUGAAGGAGCGGACAUUGAGGGCGGCCACGGUGACCGGUUUAGGAGCUGCUGGUGUGGACGGAGAGACGAGGACGUGAACGGACAUUG